GAUGAACGCUAGCGACAUUCUUAACACAUGCAAGUCGAGGGGCAGCACAGGUAGCAAUACCGGGUGGCGACCGGCGCACGGGUGAGUAACGCGUAUGCAACUUACCUAUCAGAGGGGGAUAACCCGGCGAAAGUCGGACUAAUACCGCAUGAAGCAGGGGCCCCGCAUGGGGAUAUUUGCUAAAGAUUCAUCGCUGAUAGAUAGGCAUGCGUUCCAUUAGGCAGUUGGCGGGGUAACGGCCCACCAAGCCGACGAUGGAUAGGGGUUCUGAGAGGAAGGUCCCCCACAUUGGUACUGAGACACGGACCAAACUCCUACGGGAGGCAGCAGUGAGGAAUAUUGGUCAAUGGGCGUAAGCCUGAACCAGCCAAGUCGCGUGAGGGAUGAAGGUUCUAUGGAUCGUAAACCUCUUUUAUAAGGGAAUAAAGUGCGGGACGUGUCCCGUUUUGUAUGUACCUUAUGAAUAAGGAUCGGCUAACUCCGUGCCAGCAGCCGCGGUAAUACGGAGGAUCCGAGCGUUAUCCGGAUUUAUUGGGUUUAAAGGGUGCGUAGGCGGCCUUUUAAGUCAGCGGUGAAAGUCUGUGGCUCAACCAUAGAAUUGCCGUUGAAACUGGGGGGCUUGAGUAUGUUUGAGGCAGGCGGAAUGCGUGGUGUAGCGGUGAAAUGCUUAGAUAUCACGCAGAACCCCGAUUGCGAAGGCAGCCUGCCAAGCCAUGACUGACGCUGAUGCACGAAAGCGUGGGGAUCAAACAGG
rnacentral:rRNA from 1 species